GUACAUCUGUCAGGCUAGUGGCGAACGGGUGAGUAACACGUGGGCAAUCUGCCUCGAAGUGGGGGAUAACAUCGGGAAACCGGUGCUAAUACCGCGUAAUAUCCAGGGAUCGCAUGUUUCCUGGAUCAAAGGUGGGGAUCCUUCGGGACCUACCGCUUUGAGAGGAGCCCGCGGUCGAUUAGCUUGUUGGUGAGGUAAUGGCUCACCAAGGCUGUGAUCGAUAGCCGACCUGAGAGGGUGACCGGCCACACUGGGACUGAGAUACGGCCCAGACUCCUACGGGGGGCAGCAGUCUAGAAGCUUCGGCAAUGGGGGAAACCCUGACCGAGCGACGCCGCGUGCAGGAUGAAGGUUUUCGGAUCGUAAACUGCUUUCGCUGGGGAAGAAAUGCUUGGGGGUGAAUAAUCUUCAAGUUAGACGGUACCCAGUAAAGAAGCCCCGGCUAAGUCCGUGCCAGCAGCCGCGGUAAUACGGGCGGGGCGAGCGUUGUUCGGAUUCAUUGGGUGUAAAGGGUGCGAAGGCGGUCGUCUAAGUCGAAGGUGAAAUGUCUACGGCUCAACCGAGGCAUUGCCUCCGAUACUGGACGACUUGAGUGCGGAAGGGGAGCGUGGAAUUCCUGGUGUAGCGGUGAAAUGCGUAGAUAUCAGGAGGAACACCGGUGGCGAAGGCGACGCUCUGGUCCGCAACUGACGCUCAUGCACGAAAGCCAGGGGAGCGAACGGGAUUAGAUACCCCGGUAGUCCUGGCUGUAAACGUUGGGCACUAGGUGUGGGAGGUAUCGACCCCUUCUGUGCCGUAGCUAACGCAUUAAGUGCCUCACCUGGGGAGUACGACCGCAAGGUUGAAACUCAAAGGAAUUGACGGGGGCCCGCACAAGCGGUG
rnacentral:rRNA from 1 species